GUCUACAGCCAUGCCACCUUGAACAAGACCGAUCCCAUCUGAUCUCAAAAGCUAAGCAGAGUCAGGCCUGGUUAGUACUUGGAUGGGAGACCACCUAAAGACCAGGUGUUGUAGGCG
rnacentral:rRNA from 1 species